rnacentral:rRNA from 1 species
UACGUAGGUGGCAAGCGUUGUCCGGAUUUACUGGGCGUAAAGGGCGUGCAGGCGGUCUGUUAAGUGCAGGGUGAAAGCUCCCGGCUCAACUGGGAGAGGUCCUUGCAUACUGGCGGACUUGAGGGGGGUAGAGGAAAGUGGAAUUCCCGGUGUAGUGGUGAUAUGCGUAGGAUAUCGGGAGGAACACCUGUGGCGAAGGCGGCUUUCUGGGCCCUACCUGGACUGCGUG